rnacentral:rRNA from 1 species
GAAGAGUUUGAUCAUGGCUCAGAUUGAACGCUGGCGGCAGGCUUAACACAUGCAAGUCGGGCGGUAGCACAGGGGAGCUUGCUCCCCGGGUGACGAGCGGCGGACGGGUGAGUAAUGUCUGGGAAACUGCCUGAUGGAGGGGGAUAACUACUGGAAACGGUAGCUAAUACCGCAUAACGUCGCAAGACCAAAGAGGGGGACCUUCGGGCCUCUUGCCAUCAGAUGUGCCCAGAUGGGAUUAGCUAGUAGGUGGGGUAAUGGCUCACCUAGGCGACGAUCCCUAGCUGGUCUGAGAGGAUGACCAGCCACACUGGAACUGAGACACGGUCCAGACUCCUACGGGAGGCAGCAGUGGGGAAUAUUGCACAAUGGGCGCAAGCCUGAUGCAGCCAUGCCGCGUGUGUGAAGAAGGCCUUCGGGUUGUAAAGCACUUUCAGCGAGGAGGAAGGUGGUGANCCUUGAGGCGUGGCUUCCGGAGCUAACGCGUUAAAUCGACCGCCUGGGGAGUACGGCCGCAAGGUUAAAACUCAAAUGAAUUGACGGGGGCCCGCACAAGCGGUGGAGCAUGUGGUUUAAUUCGAUGCAACGCGAAGAACCUUACCUACUCUUGACAUCCAGAGAACUUAGCAGAGAUGCUUUGGUGCCUUCGGGAACUCUGAGACAGGUGCUGCAUGGCUGUCGUCAGCUCGUGUUGUGAAAUGUUGGGUUAAGUCCCGCAACGAGCGCAACCCUUAUCCUUUGUUGCCAGCGGUUCGGCCGGGAACUCAAAGGAGACUGCCAGUGAUAAACUGGAGGAAGGUGGGGAUGACGUCAAGUCAUCAUGGCCCUUACGAGUAGGGCUACACACGUGCUACAAUGGCGUAUACAAAGAGAAGCGACCUCGCGAGAGCAAGCGGACCUCAUAAAGUACGUCGUAGUCCGGAUUGGAGUCUGCAACUCGACUCCAUGAAGUCGGAAUCGCUAGUAAUCGUAGAUCAGAAUGCUACGGUGAAUACGUUCCCGGGCCUUGUACACACCGCCCGUCACACCAUGGGAGUGGGUUGCAAAAGAAGUAGGUAGCUUAACCUUCGGGAGGGCGCUUACCACUUUGUGAUUCAUGACUGGGGUGAAGUCGUAACAAGGUAACCGUAGGGGAACCUGCGGUUG